GGAGUCCGGGGAGUGGCGUUGGCUGCUAGAGCGAUGCCGGGCCGGAGUCGCGUCGCCUUAGUCCUCCUGGCUGCCGCCGUCAGCUGUGCCGUCGCGCAGCACGCGCCGCCGUGGACAGAGGACUGCAGAAAAUCAACCUAUCCUCCUUCAGGACCGACGUACAGAGGUCCAGUUCCAUGGUACACCAUAAAUCUUGACUUACCACCCUACAAAAGAUGGCAUGAAUUGAUGCUUGACAAGGCACCGAUGCUAAAGGUUAUAGUGAAUUCUCUGAAGAAUAUGAUAAAUACAUUCGUGCCAAGUGGAAAAAUUGUGCAGGUGGUGGAUGAAAAAUUGCCUGGCCUACUUGGCAACUUUCCUGGCCCUUUUGAAGAGGAAAUGAAGGGUAUUGCCGCUGUUACUGAUAUACCUUUAGGUAAAGUUCACUUAGAAGCUUUAAAAAAAAAAAUAAUUAAAUUCUUUUACAAGUUUCCAUUGAGGUGUGAUAUACAUACAGCAAAGUGCACAGGUCUUAGAUAUACAGCUCAGUGAAGCUUCAGAAAUGCAUGCAUGCAUGUAGCCAUGACUCAGAUCAAGAUACGGAAGAGCCCAGCACUCCACGAUGCUCCAUCAUGCCCCUUUGCAGAAAAUACUGCCUCCUCCAGUAAACACUAUUCUGAUGUCACUAUAGAUUAGUUUUGCCUCUUCGUGAACUUUGUAUAAAUAGAACUGAACAAUAUGAACUGUCCUGUGUGAUUUCUUGUAUUUCAUUAUGGGUGGUGUGCUAUUGUAUCAGCAGGGUAUUUGGGUAGUUUUCAGAUUUGUGAUAUUAACAAUAAAGGAAUUAUAAAUAUUGUAGUACAUUUUGGGGGGGUUCUAGGUACUCAUUUUCUGGAUAUAUACCUAGGAAGUGAACUGUUGUGUUAUAGAGUAAUUGUGUGUUUAGCCUUAUAGAUUCUGCCAAACAGUUUUCCAAAGUGAUUCCAGCAGUUGACAAUCAGCAGAGUAUGAGAGUUUCAGUUUUCUCCUAUGAUAAUUCUCCUCUCGAUAGUGUCAGUCUUUUCUUUUUCCUUUUUUUUUUUGUUAGUGUCAAUCUUUAUUUGAGCCUUUUUGUUGAGUGUCACAGUAUCGCAUUUUAGUUUCAAUUUGCAUUUCCUUGAUGACUAAUGAGAUUGAACAGUUUAUUGACUUUUUUUUUUUGGUUUCUUUGUUUCUUUUGGAGAAGGGCUUGUGAAGGUCUUUUGCCCUUUUAAAAAUUAGACUGAAGGAAUUUUUUACAUACUUUGAAUAUAAGCCCUUUGUCAGAUAUAUGGAUUCUGAAUAUCUGCUCCCAGUCUAUGACUUUCAUUUUUAUUCUCUUACUUUUGUCUUUUGAUGAACAGAAAUUUUUAAUUUUAGUGAAGUCUAAUAUCUCAGUCUUCUCUUUUAUGAGUAGUGCCUUUUGUAUCCAUUUAAGGAAUCUUGGCCUACCCCAAAGUCAUAUAUAUAUGCUUAUAUAUUUUCUUCUAGAUGUUUAAUGUUUACUUUUUACAUUUAGGCCUAUCAUCUAUUUUGAAUUAUUUUUGUAUAUGCUAUGACUUAUGGGUCAAGCUUCAGGUUUUUCUCAUAUGGUAUAUCCAGUUAGUUAAACACUAUCAAUUCAAAAGGCUAUCCUUUCCUCAGCAAAUUGCAGUGAUGUGUUUGAUAUAAAUAUACAAUACAUAUGUAUAUACACACACACACACACAAUGUGUAUCUGUAUAUACAAUCAGGUGAUUGUAUAUAUGUUGUUUUGUUUGGGGAAUUAAGUUUCAUUUACAUAUUUGUCUUUUUGUCUUCCCUUAUAUCAAUACUAUUUCACCUCAGUUACUAAAGCUUUAUAGUAAGUCUUCAAAUUAGGUGGUAUAAUUCUUCCAACUUUGUUUUUCUCAAUAUUUAUUUAAGUUACUGAUUUCUCUGAGCAGUAUCUUUUAUUUUCAGGGAGAAGACCUUGCAUGUCAUUCGUUAAAAUUAUUCUUAGAUAUUGAUGGUUUGGGAAGCUAUUUUUAAAAUUUCAAUUUAAGCUUUAUGGCAUGUAACGAAAAAGAUUUUCCCCAUGACCCCAAAAGUUUUAUCUUUAAGCUAGCAAAGCAGUAGUGUCAUUAUUUUAAAUAGCCAACAGUACCUUCAUUUGAUAAGAGAGAUGAUUGAGAAUUUGUGAAAAUCAGUAGUAUUUAUCAACAAAAGUGGCUAGUUUUGUGUGCUGCUUCUUUAAAAAAAUCAUUUAAAAGAUAGCAUACUGGAAAUAUGUACUUGCUGCCUUUAUGGAGAGCAAGUCUAAUUCCUUUAUUAUGUAAAGAACUCUAGCAACUCAAUACCAAAUAGCUUACCAAAAAUACCUUAUGGAUUAAGAAUAACAUCAUAUAUAAGUGGUGUAAAUUUAUAUAAUUAUUAUAAAUUAUUAUAAAUGUAUAAUAAAAUAACUAGAAUUUCACCAAAUUAGAAAUUUAAUGGAAAUAAAAUAAACAUUGGAUUUGGGUGAAAAAAACAUGUUGAGCUUAACAUGUUAAUGUUAAAUGGGACAGAAAUACAAUGUGCUGCCUACUUUUGAAUUAAAUGCUAAAUAGCAGUAUUAUACAUUUUGGGAAAAUAUUCAAAAAAUAAAAUACCCUAGAAUGGAGUUUCUUGGCAGCUCUGUACUAAUUUUAAUAGUUCUUGAAUCUCCUUUUUCACCUUAGAAAUUUUAGUCACACUUUAAAAAUCUGGGCAAAAUAUAUGUCCAGCAAACAGCCAAGAGCCAGAUGUAUUAAAUGAUCAUAUUUACGCUCCCAAAAGAAAAUUCAAAAUGAAGCAUGUUGAUAAUAAACAUUUUGGACGUGAUGUUGGAGAACAAUUGCAACCUGCCCAGAUGUUCAGCUCGCCCAAAGGCUGCCUCCUUGGUGACUUGUUUCAUCUUGAGUCUAGAGAGACCAGGCUGGGGAAGAAAACCACCUCCAGCCAGCCGUUCCAGCACAGCCCCACUGGCCAAAGCACACACUCACACAAUGAAAACACUGAAACUUUUUCUUAAAACAAAUUUUUCUCCCAUUGUCAUGGUUCUGUAUAUUAACACAAAAUUUUCUUUUCUCAUAGGAGAGAUUAUUUCAUUCAAUAUUUUUUAUGAAUUAUUUACCAUUUGUACUUCAAUAGUAGCAGAAGACAAAAAAGGUCAUCUAAUACAUGGGAGAAACAUGGAUUUUGGAGUGUUUCUUGGGUGGAACAUAAAUAAUGAUACCUGGGUCAUAACUGAGCAACUAAAACCUUUAACAGUGAAUUUGGACUUCCAAAGAAACAACAAAACUGUCUUCAAGGCUUCAAGCUUUGCUGGCUAUGUGGGCAUGUUAACAGGAUUCAAACCAGGACUGUUCAGUCUUUCACUGAAUGAACGUUUCAGUAUAAAUGGUGGUUAUCUGGGUAUUCUAGAAUGGAUUCUGGGAAAGAAAGAUGCCAUGUGGAUAGGGUUCCUCACUAGAACAGUUCUGGAAAAUAGCACAAGUUAUGAAGAAGCCAAGAAUUUAUUGACCAAGACCAAGAUAUUGGCCCCAGCCUACUUUAUCCUGGGAGGCAACCAGUCUGGGGAAGGUUGUGUGAUUACACGAGACAGAAAGGAAUCAUUGGAUGUAUAUGAACUCGAUGCUAAGCAGGGUAGAUGGUAUGUGGUACAAACAAAUUAUGACCGUUGGAAACAUCCCUUCUUCCUUGAUGAUCGCAGAACGCCUGCAAAGAUGUGUCUGAACCGCACCAGCCAAGAGAAUAUCUCAUUUGAAACCAUGUAUGAUGUCCUGUCAACAAAACCUGUCCUCAACAAGCUGACCGUAUACACAACCUUGAUAGAUGUUACCAAAGGUCAAUUCGAAACUUACCUGCGGGACUGCCCUGACCCUUGUAUAGGUUGGUGAGCACACGUCUGGCCUACAGAAUGCGGCCUCUGAGACAUGAAGACACCAUCUCCAUGUGACCGAACACUGCAGCUGUCUGACCUUCCAAAGACUAAGACUCGCGGCAGGUUCUCUUUGAGUCAAAAGCUUGUCUUCGUCCAUCUGUUGACAAAUGACAGACCUUUUUUUUUUCCCCCUAUCAGUUGAUUUUUCUUAUUUACAGAUAACUUCUUUAGGGGAAGUAAAACAGUCAUCUAGAAUUCAUUGAGUUUUGUUUCACUUUGACAUUUGGGGAUCUGGUGGGCAGUCGAACCAUGGUGAACUCCACCUCCGUGGAAUAAAUGGAGAUUCAGCGUGGGUGUUGAAUCCAGCACGUCUGUAUGAGUAACGGGACAGUAAACACUCCACAUUCUUCAGUUUUUCACUUCUACCUACAUAUUUGUAUGUUUUUCUGUAUAACAGCCUUUUCCUUCUGGUUCUAACUGCUCUUAAAAUUAAUAUAUCAUUAUCUUUGCUGUUAUUGACAGUGAUAUAAUUUUAUUACAUAUGAUUAGAGGGAUGAGACAGACAUUCACCUGUAUAUUUCUUUUAAUGGGCACAAAAUGGGCCCUUGCCUCUAAAUAGCACGUUUUGGGGUUCAAGAAGUAAUCAGUAUGCAAAGCAAUCUUUUAUACAAUAAUUGAAGUGUUCCCUUUUUCAUAAUUACUCUACUUCCCAGUAACCCUAAGGAAGUUGCUAACUUAAAAAACCGCAUCCCAGGUUCUGUUAAUUUAGUAAAUAAACAAGUCAAAGACUUGUGGAAAAUAGGAAGUGAACCCAUAUUUUAAAUUCUCAUAAGUAGCAUUCAUGUAAUAAACAGGUUUUUAGUUUGUUCUUCAGAUUGAUAGAUAGUUUUAAAGAAAUUUUAGUAGUUACUAAAAUUAUGUUACUUUAUUUUUCAGAAAUCAAACUGCUUAUGAAAAGUACUAAUAGAACUUGUUAACCUUUCUAACCUUCACGAUUAACUGUGAAAUGUACGUCAUUUGUGCAAGACCGUUUGUCCACUUCAUUUUGUAUAAUCACAGUUGUGUUCCUGACACUCAAUAAACAGUCA
rnacentral:sRNA from 1 species